AGUGAACGCUGGCGGUAGGCCUAACACAUGCAAGUCGAACGGCAGCACAGUAAGAGCUUGCUCUUACGGGUGGCGAGUGGCGGACGGGUGAGGAAUACAUCGGAAUCUACUUUUUCGUGGGGGAUAACGUAGGGAAACUUACGCUAAUACCGCAUACGACCUACGGGUGAAAGCAGGGGAUCUUCGGACCUUGCGCGAUUGAAUGAGCCGAUGUCGGAUUAGCUAGUUGGCGGGGUAAAGGCCCACCAAGGCGACGAUCCGUAGCUGGUCUGAGAGGAUGAUCAGCCACACUGGAACUGAGACACGGUCCAGACUCCUACGGGAGGCAGCAGUGGGGAAUAUUGGACAAUGGGCGCAAGCCUGAUCCAGCCAUACAGCGGGGGUGAAGAAGGCCUUCGGGUUGUAAAGCCCUUUUGUUGGGAAAGAAAAGCAGCAGGUUAAUACCCCGCUGUUCUGACGGUACCCAAAGAAUAAGCACCGGCUAACUUCGU
rnacentral:rRNA from 1 species